CACGUAGGGGCCAAGCGUUGUCCGGAUUUAUUGGGCGUAAAGAGCUCGUAGGCGGUUCGACAAGUCGGGUGUGAAAACUCCGGGCUCAACCCGGAGACGCCACCCGAUACUGUCGUGACUGGAGUCCGGUAGGGGAGUGGGGAAUUCCUGGUGUAGCGGUGAAAUGCGCAGAUAUCAGGAGGAACACCGGUGGCGAAAGCGACUUCCUGGACCAAUACUGACGCUGAGGAGCGAAAGCGUGGGGAGCGAACAGG
rnacentral:rRNA from 1 species